rnacentral:lncRNA from 1 species
GGGGGGGGGGGGGGGGGGGGGGGGGGGGGGGGGGGGGGGCAGGCGCUGCGGACCAGGCCAGUCCCAGGGGACCACACCUUGGCUGUGAAACGGGGUGUGUGUGGAGGGCUGGUGGGGAGGGGGCAGCCUGCGGGCGGGGACGUGGAGACGCGCAGGCUGGGGGCGGCGCAGGCGGGCUGAGGGGUCCUGGGCUCGCCAGGGCCUCGUCUGGGGUUAUGACUCCCGCGGGAAGCACGACUGCUUCGGAGAGUUCUCCACCGCCUUCGAGGAGAUGCAGAAAGCCUUUGGGGAGAACCAGGUGGCCGUUGACUUCACCCUCGGAACAGCUGCUCCCUUCACUAUAUCAACUCCUUCCAGCCCAGCGAGUACCUGCAGGCCCUGGUGGCCGUGGGCGAGAUCUGCCAGGACUAUGACAGGUGCGCUGGCCUCCCCACCCCGGGCGCACCCCCGCUGUCCCCCUCACCUUCACACAGACCCGGGCUUCCGAGUCCCACUGCACAGACCAGUAAACUGGGGCUGUCGGGGCCAAGCUCCCACACCGGUGGCUCUGCCCCUUGUCUGCGCGCAUGCUGGGCAGCUCCUUUGUGGCUUUUUGCCUCAGUUUCCCCCAUGUGGCUCAGGGUGGGGCCUGGCCCCCCCAAAAGGGUCAGCCUGGUCUCCUGGUUCUGUUGAUGUCUCCCCCCCACCCCAUCCCCAGGAGACCAGGGCCCUGGGUGAUGGGGCCACCUCUCUUUCAGCGACAAGAGGCUCUCUGCUUUGGGGUUUGGAGCCCAGAUCCCUCCCAAGGAUGAGGUAGGAGGCCUGGGUCCCGGGACCCGCUGGUUGCUGCCUCCCCCCUCCCCUGGGAGCCAGCUACCGUGUGAUGGGCAGUAGACAGGGUUCAGGGACCAGCCUCUGGCCAGAGGUCUGACCUUUGACCUCCCAGCACCAGCCCAGUGAUCCUAGGGCUGAAGAUAAGCCCUGUGGCCCUGUCCGGAGAAGGGGGACAUUAGUCCAGAAUCCUCCAGUGAGAAGGGAUUUUAGCUGGCUUAAGCAGGAACUUGGUGGGGUUUAUCAGCUAAUGAAACUCAGAAGCUUCAGGUCUGGCUGGAUCCAGGGCUGGAGCGAUGCCCUAGCACUAGUCUGUCUGUCCACCCUCUGUCCCCAGUGACUCCCGCCCAUGGGAGCUCCAAACCUGCUUCCCCCAGUGGGUCAGGAUCGACUGGCUGACCGGUCCUUUCUGUGCCCGCCCAGGUGUCCCAUGACUUUGCCAUCAAUUUCAACCUGGAGGACGGUGAGUGUGAAGGUAGGAGCUCCAGGUGCCUGGGCUGGGGGUGGGGUGGCAGCGAGGCCGGCUCAUGCCCUUCCCCCCGCAGGCAUCCAGGGCAUGGUGGAGGCGUCCCAGAACUGCCUGCCCAGGGUCCAGCUGUAUGGCCACCACGUGGCUCCCAUCAUCUCCAAGGUGGCCUGCACGGCUGCAGCUGAGGAACGCAGCGGAGAGGCUCCUGUAGGUGGUGGGCGGGCACUGCGGGGACCGCGUGCCUUAGAAGGUGUGCCUGCUGCUGGGGAGGUGGGACCGGAUGGGGGUUUGCAGAGGUUGACAGAGCAGCCCGCGGGAGGCCCUGAGGCAGGGAGCGAGAGGCAGCUGGGUGGCAGUGGGGCUGAGAGACCAGGAGGCCCCAGAGCCAGUGGGGUAAGGUGAAUUCUUGCCCUGGAGGCUGACUUGCCGAGCCCGCAGGCAGCCCGAUGCUUAUGGUUCUCUUGGUCCAAUUGUGUAUACGUCGUUAUUUUUUUUUUUUUUUGUCUUUUUUUUGUUG